rnacentral:rRNA from 1 species
AACUGUCUCUUUACUACAAGAGAAAAUUUAUAUACAGGUGAAAAAGCCUGAAUUAAAAACAAUGUCAAGAAGGCCCUAGAAGCUUUUAAAUACCAUAAAACUUUUAUUUCAAGUGUUUUUUUGCUGGGGCGACAAAAAGAAAAAAACACUUUUACCAAAAAAGAUGUAAUCCAUCUAUAAAAACAGCUAAACACACUCAAGCAAGUUACUCUAGGGAUAACAGGCUAAUACUUUCUGAGAGUACGCAUUGACGAAAGUGCUUGGCACCUCGAUGUUGGCUUAGGGUCUCUAUUUCACUUUUUAGUGAAAACAGAGGGUUUGUUCAACCUUUAAAUCCCUACAUGAUCUGAG